rnacentral:rRNA from 1 species
GACGAACGCUGGCGGCGUGCUUAACACAUGCAAGUCGAACGGAAAGGCCCUGCUUUUGUGGGGUGCUCGAGUGGCGACCGGGUGAGUAACACGUGAGUAACCUGCCCUUGACUUUGGGAUAACUUCAGGAAACUGGGGCUAAUACCGGAUAGGAGCUCCUGCUGCAUGGUGGGGGUUGGAAAGAUUCGGUGGUUGGGGAUGGUCUCGCGGCUCAUCAGCUUGUUGGUGGGGUAGUGGCUUACCAAGGCUUUGACGGGUAGCCGGCCUGAGAGGGUGACCGGACACACUGGGACUGGUAUACGGCCCAGACUACUAAGGGAGGCAGCAGUGGGGAGUAUUGCACAAUGGGCGGAAGACUGAUGCAGAAGCGCCGCGUGCGGGAUGACGGCCUUCGGGUUGUAAACCGCGUUCGCCUGUGACGAAGCGUGUGUGACGGUAAUGGGUAAAGAAGCACCGGCUAACUACGUG